rnacentral:rRNA from 1 species
UACGGAGGGGGCUAGCGUUGUUCGGAAUUACUGGGCGUAAAGCGCGCGUAGGCGGUCUGUUAAGUGCACAAGUGAAAGCUCCGGGCUCAACUCGGAAAUUGCUUUGCAUACUGGCAGGCUGGAGGGACGCAGAGGUCUGUGGAAUUCCUGGUGUAACGGUGAAAUGUGUUGAUAUCAGGAGGAACACCCAUGGCGAAGGCAGCAGACUGGGCGUUUCCUGACGCUGAUGCGCGAAAGCCAGGGGAGCGAACGGG